CCAUGACGCGUGUGCUGUGCGCGCCGAACACGUGCCCUUUUUGGCUUGUUCGACUUCAUGCGGCGCUGCAAAAACCGACAGCUGUAUGACGUCAAAGUACCGCGAGAACGAUUCGAGAACUCAUACGAAGUGUAAUGUCGUCUCGCUCUCGCAGGACUUUAACGUCAUCCGUCUGUCAGUUCUAGCGGGGCCGCAGGCAGGAAGUCGAACAGCCUUCUUUCUCAAUUCGGAAUCGGAUUACCAUGAGGUGGGACUGACGAAGCUCCUCUUUCACGGGUUUCUUUACUGUUUUCAGGAGUGACCAAAAUAACCUCUAUAAUAGAAGAAAAGCUGAAGAUUUCAAAAUUUUCUGAAGGGAGCCACAGACAGAGAUGUAAACUCAGGCAGGUUGAGAGCAUAUUAACUCACUUUUUUCACAACAUAUUACCAUGCAUCUUGUCAUUUUUCUGCGUUUAUAGCAGUUAUUCUAGGAAGAUUUUAACAUCCAAACGUGAGUGGCACCAUAUGAGCAAUAUUAAAUGAACAAGUAAACCUAAAAACAUAGAUUCUGUUAUAUUUUGUAUACUUUAAUUUUCUUUUCUGUGUUUUACAUCCUUUUCAUCAAUAUUGAUUGCUUUGUGACAAAUUGCAUGUUAUGUUUGUAGAUUUUCCAGGCUGAUAUCUGUGCAGCAGAGUCAAAGCAGACCUGUCAGAAAACAUCUCUAAGGAUACACAUCAUAAGAUAACUAGAGCUUACGGCUCUGUUUGGAUCCAGCCUCACUUGUGAAGACUUCAGAUGACGUAAACACUCACAAAGACAUUAUAUGAUGGCAUCUAUAGAUGGACAUACACAACUGCCAAAUGUAACAUAUUGUAAUUACUGCACCAAAGCGCAACCCUACAGAUUUUCAACCCACUUAAUAUUGUUACAAAUACAAUAUAUGUUUAUAUUUGAAAAAAUAUUCUUUAGCUAAUUUUACUGAUUUAUUUCCAUUUAUUUGUCCACAAUACUCUGCCAAAAUGAUGUUUUGCAUCAUCCAAAUAUUGUUAAUGUACAUAUUACAGACAUUGUAACAACACAAAGUGGGUUGAAAAAGUUUCUUCUUCUAAGUGCAGUAACUACGCUAACACUAAAACCGAGAAAAAAGUUCUUAAAGUGUUUUACACCAGCGGGUCAAACUUGUUACUGCAAUUUUGGCAAACACAUUUCUCUGAUGGGACAAAAUUAAACCAGGAGACUUUGUCACAAGACAACAGAUCUCACAAAGCCCAUUUCAACCUUCACCUCAAUUUUGACCAAAUGCAUAGUUACUGCGCUUUGGCUUUGUUGGACAGUAUUGUAGUAUUAUAGUAAUGCUGCAGUGAAACCAUGGUAACCAUAUAUUUUUAAAUCAUGGUAAAGUUUGUGGUUACUAAAAUGUAGUACUAUAAACUUAUGCUGUUGUAAGAGAAUGUUUAUUCUUUAUUAUUGUUGUGAAACUAUUGUUGAUUUUAUAUUUACCAUGUGUUACUGCAAAUGAUGGUAAAAUCAUGGAUAACUUUGCAUGGGUACAGAAAGGUGUAAACUGGUUGUUUUUAUUUGGAAGUCAUGUUGGUUUUAAUGCAUGUGAUAAAUGUAUAUGCAUUUGGAUAUUUAUUCUUUUUACUGACAAUAAUAAAUUUGCAGUUGCUGAUGUAAAUUGUUUAUUAUUGUGUUGAAAGACAUUUGGUUAGCGUGAUUAAACAAUUAUGAACCACGGACCGACCGUGGGCAGCUAGGAACCAUUACCGGUAUAAACCAGCGGACCUUUGCGGCUGCCGCUGGUGGUCCGCUGGAAAAACGAUGGGUAAAACUCCGGCGAGCCGCUGGCGGCAUCCGCCGGCGGACCGCCGCUCGUCCGCUGGCCUUGUGUUAGCUGGGGCAGCGGUCCAACAGCGGACCUCCGACCUCUGCGGCUGCCGCUGGUGGUCCGCUGGAAAAACGA